rnacentral:lncRNA from 1 species
AGAACCAUUAAAAGCAGACUUGAUUUUUAAUGAAGCAGAUGCUUAGAAGUAUAAAGGAUGGGGAGAAUAUUAAGAAGUGUUUGAAGCCUGCUUGGUAAAAUGUGAAUAAAAAUGGUAUAGGAACCAUGAAGAGGAGCUCUUAGCUGUAGUAUCUACUCCACCUAUAGACCACUUGCCACAAUUAGGAUACUUUUCUGUACCUAAGAAGGACUAAUCCCAGUUAGUCCUUAGUACUCCUCUACAUUUUAUUCCCUGCUAAUGUUCCCAGCUACAUAAUUGAGGUUUGCUCAAAUGUUGACUCCUUAAUAAGGCCAUCACUGCCAUAGAAAUUGGCCUUUCUACUGAUCCAUAACCAUUGCUUGCUUUGUACUGCUAUAAGAGCAUCCGUUAUGACCUGCCAUCAUUCUAUUUUAAAAUUUAUGCCCUGAUUUCCAAUUACCAAAUAAUUUGCUUGACAUAAGUAAUUUAUGUACUUUUUGCACAGUGAGCCUGAGACAUACUGCACAAACAGGAGAUGGGAAGGAAAAAAUUGUAUUUAUAAUUUCAAUGGGUAAAUAGGCUUCUAAGUUCUCAUGUUGAAAAAGUAGAAUUCGACGUAGGAUAUUUAAAAAAGUAACAUUUAAUUCUUUUGUUUUGUUAAAUGUAGAAAAUAGACGUAUAAAACUUUGUUGGCUAUUUGUAUUUGGAUGCUAAGUUAAAUAUGUCCUCAGAAAAUAUUUGUUGGCUCUUGGUAGUUGUCUAAUAUUGCUAUACUACUAUACAUAAUUGUAUGAUAAUUGAUCAGUGUCCUAUAUUAUAAAAAUCAAAAUUCAAACUCAAAUUAUUAAUUAUUAAGCCCUGUCACAAUGCUACCAAGUAUCUAUUAUUAGACUGGAUAUUGUGCAUUUGUGUAUAACUUGAAAAAUUAUUGAAUUAGUUUGCCAUGUCUCUGGUUUUAUUGUAAAUACUUAGAUAAUGUUACAUUGUUACAUCAUUUAAAUAUUGCCAAACAAGUAAUGCCUACUUAAUAUAUAUGGCUAUUAUAAUGGAUGAGCAAACAACUUCAUAUUGAUAAAUUAAACAAAAUUGAAAAAAUAAAAAGAGACUAAUGUGAAAUGGAAA